UUCAUGAUGUACCUAGUAAACUUAUUUAAUUUUCUAAUUCUAUUUAUCAUUGUAAUAUGCUUAUAAAUUGGUACCUGUACCAGUUAAGGUGUAACAGGUUAUGCGUUGAAAAUGGUUUAUUGAUUCAAGUUGUAAAGUGAAAUUAUUGUAGCUUCAGAAAGCUAAUGCAUCUGAUCAGGAAAGCUAUUUUAUCAACAAUUUUUAGCCACCUGUCUAAUUUAAGAAGUUUGUUUAUAUGUUGGGAGUUAUAGGUGUUUUGGUACCAUGCAAACCUGCCCUUGCUUAGUUUAAAGAACUAAAUUGAAAAAUCAACUUUAUUAUUAUAGUGUUCUAUGAUUCUCAUAAUACUCUUCUGCAUAUUUAUUUGUACCUAAUGAAAGAUUCAAAAAGUGAUUCUUUUAAUGGAUUUUGGACUUUGCCUGCUGUCAAAUUUACAAACAAAGAUUUCAUUCAUUAUGCGCACAAUGAGUCCACAACAAUGUCUAUCGUACCUUGUAGUUCAAGGGAUUCUGCUGCACUACCUGAACAAUUACUGCCAUCAUCCUUGCAAAAUAUUGAAGUAUCUACAAGAAACUAUGGUGGAAGACCUGAUGCUCAAUGUCUAGAGCUUCUUCAGAGUGUUGGAAAAAGCUCAAAAUGCAAUGAAGAGGAAGAAAUCACCAAACAAACCUUGUCAAAGCUUGAUAGGUUUCUGAUGACCAAAUGGAAGGCUGCAUCUGAAGUUGGAGCCUUGAAUUACAGCGUUGCAAAUGUGCUCACUAAGAUCUUGCCAGGAAAAUAUUGCAUAGUUGCUCAGCUGAACCCUGCACGUGCAAUGCAGCGAAGGAAGCCUCAGUCAUUCACAAAACUCCAUGAACCGUUCAACCCAGAUUUGUUUAAUUUCACAAAAAUUAAAAGUUCUGAAUUGUUAUUCAACAUCCAUUUAGUUCUGGAGAAUAAUGAAGAUCUGAGUGGAUCAAUCAUUGUGAAUGCAGCACCAAUUUGUAGCACACAUAGUCUGCUCCUGCCAUCUGUGCAGUCAUGUCUGCCACAACUCAUUGACAGGGAUGGUCUUAUGCUGGCAGUCUCCACUGUUCUCUUGUCCAGCUCUCCUUCAUUCCGUGUGGGCUUCAACUCUUUGUGUGCCUAUGCCUCUGUCAACCACCACCACUACCACUGCUACUUCCUUCCCCAGCACCUCUAUGUGGAGUCGGCUGCCUGCCGUCCUGUGCGUGGUCGCUGCCAUGUUUUUAUCGACCACUACGCCCCUGGUUUUGUGUUUCAAGUUGACCCAAACUGCCUGAUUGAGAGUGUUGGUGCGGCAAUGAAGCUCCUGUCGUGGAUGAUUUCUGCAGACAUCCCACACAACGUCUUCAUCACGCGCGGCCAGUCGCUGGACGACUCACGAGGCCCUGAUGUUGAGGAUGCCAAAGACGACUCAGAGCUGGAGGCUUGUGCGGCUGCCACCGGCAGCGCUGAAAAGACAUACCAGGUCAUCAGAAUAUGCAUCUGGGCUCGAGAAGCCAGCACCGGAGCCAAAGACGUGUCGGUGUUCGCUCCAGCUCUCUGCGAACUUGCCGGCCAUGUUCCUAUCUACAGUAAGUAGCCGGCCAUGUUCCUAUCUACAGUAAGUAGCCGGCCAUGUUCCUAUCUACAGUAAGUAGCCGGCCAUGUUCCUAUCUACAGUAAGUUGCCGGCCAUGUUCCUAUCUACAGUAAGUAGCCGGCCAUGUUCCUAUCUACAAUGCCGACUAUUGGGAUCGAAUUAAUGAGGAAUACAUCACCAAGGAAAUACAUUCGUUGUGUAAAGACGCAUUUGAUUUUGUC
rnacentral:misc_RNA from 1 species